CUGAAACAUCCGCUCAGGGCCACAUGACCAUUUUCAGGAGCUCACUCUGGGUGCGUGUGGAGAGUAGAUUUCAGGCGUGGGAAGAGGAGUGGGAGCAGGAGGUCCCAUGGGGGCUGUUGUAAUGACCCAGGUGAGGACAGAGGUGCAGACUUUGGGACAGCAGCAGGGUGUGGACAGGAGUGGACAGACGGGGUGCAUUUUCAAUUCAAUAGAUUCCAUGGCAGCUGGAAGAUGAGGGAGGGCCUGAGGAUGCUGCCUGCUCACUGGCUUGAGGAACCGGGCGUUUGGUGGCGCCACCAACUGAAAGGGGACACUGAGUCUUUGGUGGCUUCAUUGAAAACUUGCCAGAUAUGAAAGCCUGAGACGCUCCGAUAACUGAGCCUCCAGGCUGUCCUCCCAAGGGCCUUCUGGAUAGGAGGCCAUGGGUACAAAGGAACUGGCAUCCUGGUUCCCAUGUCCCAGGCCCAACCCAGGGACUGAGCCCCAGGAAGACCACAGAGCAGCACAAAGCCCAGAUCUGCUGCUGCCUGGGCAGAGCCAAGCCCAGGAUUUAUGAAGGAAGCUGGCAGGAGCGGAAAAAUUCCUUCGAAGAUUGCCUCACUCAUCACCAUCCUCGGUGGCACCCUCAACCACAGGAUGGAGAAUCAUUAGAAGAUGGCAGUCUCAUAGGGUCCUUCAAAAUUACCACUUGCAUUUGAACAAAGCUGUGCUUUCUUAGCCCCAACCCUCCCCAUAAGCCUGGGCUAUCAACUGGAGAUAAAUUUAGCUGCAAAAAAAUGUCAAGAUUCAGAUACCCAGCUUAAUCAAGGACACAUUCUUCAUUCCUCGGACUGUUGUACUUCUCAGGAGACCCCAGGGAUUGCAUGAGAGACUGAAUCAUCUUAGACUGGGUAUUGCUCUGUCACCCAGGCUGGACAGUGGCACAAUCGUAGCCCACCGCAGCCUUGAAUUCCUGGACUAAAGCGAUCCUCCCCAUUCAGCCUCCUGAACGGCUGGGACUACAGGCAUGCAUCACCAUACUUGGCUAAUUUUUAAAUAUUUUUUUUGUAGAUACGGAGUCUCACUAUGUUGCCCAGGCUGGUCUUGAACUCCUGGCUUCAAAUGAUGCUCCCGCCUCAGCCUCCCAAAGUACCUGAAUUAUAACUGUGAGCCACUAUGCCCAGCAAAGCUGUUUUUAAAAUGGGUUUUUUCAUAAGUUGAUGAUAGUGCUGGGACACCCCAGGUCAUGAAGACCCCCAAAGCUCCUCAAGUAGACAAGUAAAGCACAAGAUAGACUGUCGCCUUGCUGGUUGGAUUCUCAUACAACCAAAUGGCACUGUGGGUUGAGAGGAUGCUAUCUUGUUUACAUGUCAGAAAACCUGAAGUUUAUCAACAACAUCAAGUUGGCUGUUUGCUCUGUGCCUAGACAGUCUUCUUGUAUAUGUACUGUAUACCCAAUAACAUAUAAACAAUUCAUCUGUUUAAUACUUUCAACACCCUCUGAAGAAGAUAUUAUUUUCUACCCCAAGCACAAACAGGAGAAAACAGAGGCCCCAAGAGCUCAUGUAACUAGCUUGUAGAUGGUACAACCUCAUCUUGAACCUAGAACUCCAACUCCAGAGCUUGGGCCAAUAACCAUGCAUCACCUUUGCAAGGGAGUCUUCUAGGGUGACCAGAUUUAGCAAAUAAAAGCACAGGAUGCCUGCCCAGUUACACAAUGAAUAUCUAAAUAUUGCAUGGUCCUGGAAUGAAUCUGGCAAUCUUAGAUUCUCCUGGCUGAAUCUCCAGUGCUGACAACAUGGCCCAGCACAGAGUCCUCCACAGAUGACCAGAGACAAAGCAGGAAACGUGGCCCGUGGGACUGAUAUCGUCACCAUGAGACCUGUGAAGAGGGUGACGAGGCACACCAAGAGGACAAAAGGAACAGGUUGAAAUGUGUGGCUACGUCUAGAAGGAAAAUGAUAACAGGCAUCCUUGUGAAGAGACACUGGUCAUCUAAAUUCAUGGCACGUCUGCAUAGCGUUCAGGAAAGUGUUUCAAAAACGUCCUCAAAAAUUUUCCCUAUCUAUACCCCACUUGUACUAUGUUUUACUUUUUUCUUUAAUUUGACUCACUGUUUUACAUAAAUAAAUAUAUUCAAACAGAACACUUGAUAUCACCACUGUAAAAGUAAAACUAUUAUCAUUUGCUGUAAGUUGAAGGUUACUAUAUGAUAUGGUUCGGCUAUAUCCUCACCCAAAUCUCAUCUUGAACUGUAGUUCUCAUAAUCCCCACAUGUUGUGGGAGGACCCUGGUGGGAAGUGCUUGAAUCACAGAGGCAGCUACCUCCAUGCUGUUCACGUGAUAGUGAGUGAGUUCUCAUGAGAUCUGAUGGUUUUAUAAGGGGCUUUUCCUUCCCUUCACUCUGCACUUCUCCUUCCUGCCACCAUGAGAAGAAGGACAUGUUUGGUUCCCCUUCUGCCAUGAUUGUAAGUUUCCUGAGGCUUCUCUAGCCAUG
rnacentral:lncRNA from 1 species